rnacentral:rRNA from 1 species
AAUAGCCAAACGGCUGAACCAGCAACUUGGAAGAAUGUAAAACGAAUAAGUCGUAUAAAAUUCUAGAUAGAAAACUGAUAAUGACAAUUAUCUAUCUAAUAGUCUUGACCAAAUUACGUGCCAGCAGUCGCGGCAACACGUAGAAGACAAGUGUUAUUCAUCUUUAAUCGGUUUAAAGGGUACCUAGACGGUAAAUAAAGCCAAAUGGGGACUAAUUUUCUAGAGUUUUAUGGGAGAGAGUCGAAUAGCUGGAGUAGGGAUAAAAUCUUUUGAUACCAGAUAGACGGUUAACGGCGUAAGCUACUUUCUAUGUAAAAACUGACGUUGAGGGACGAAGCCCUGGGUAACGAGAAGGAUUAGAUACCCUAGUAGUCCAGGGAGACAAUUAUGAAUGUCAUAGGCUAGAAAAAAAAUUCUUUAUCAUUUAGUUGAAUUAUAAUGUUAUAAGAUAGAAAACAAGAAUAAAAAUUCUUUAUCGAAUAGUUGAAUUAUAUUUAGUUUAUAAAUGAAAGUGUAAGCAUUCCACCUUAAGACUAAAGCGGCAACGCCCAAAUUGAAAUCAUUAGACCGUUCCUGAAACCAGUAGUGAAGUAUGUUGUUUAAUUCGAUAAUCCGCGAAUAACCUUACCACGUCCUGAAUAUUAUUAAAUUAAUACUAGCGUUGCACGGCUGUCUUUAGUUAAUGUCGUGAGACUUGGUUAACUCCUUUAAUUAACGAAAACCCUUGUUUUAUUUAUAUAUAAAACAGUUCUCCGCUACAUAGGAUAAGAUAAUAGGGAUCAAGGCAAGUCAUCAUGGCCUAUAGUGACGU